GUCGAACGGCAGCACGGGGGCAACCCUGGUGGCGAGUGGCGAACGGGUGAGUAAUACAUCGGAAUGUACCCAGUAGUGGGGGAUAACUAGUCGAAAGAUUAGCUAAUACCGCAUACGCACUAUGGUGGAAAGCGGGGGAUCGCAAGACCUCGCGCUAUUGGAGCAGCCGAUGUCCGAUUAGCUAGUUGGUAGGGUAAAGGCCUACCAAGGCGACGAUCUGUAGCUGGUCUGAGAGGAUGGCCAGCCACACUGGAACUGAGACACGGUCCAGACUCCUACGGGAGGCAGCAGUGGGGAAUAUUGGACAAUGGGGGCAACCCUGAUCCAGCCAUGCCGCGUGUGUGAAGAAGGCCUUCGGGUUGUAAACCGCUUUUGUCAGGGAAGAAAUCCUUUGGGUUAAUACCUCGGAGGGAUGACGGUACCUGAAGAAUAAGCACCGGCUAACUACGUGCCAGCAGCCGCGGUAAUACGUAGGGUGCAAGCGUUAAUCGGAAUUACUGGGCGUAAAGCGUGCGCAGGCGGUUUUGUAAGACAGAGGUGAAAUCCCCGGGCUCAACCUGGGAACUGCCUUUGUGACUGCAAAGCUGGAGUACGGCAGAGGGGGAUGGAAUUCCGCGUGUAGCAGUGAAAUGCGUAGAUAUGCGGAGGAACACCGAUGGCGAAGGCAAUCCCCUGGGCCUGUACUGACGCUCAUGCACGAAAGCGUGGGGAGCAAACAGGAUUAGAUACCCUGGUAGUCCACGCCCUAAACGAUGUCAACUGGUUGUUGGACGGCUUGCUGUUCAGUAACGAAGCUAACGCGUGAAGUUGACCGCCUGGGGAGUACGGCCGCAAGGUUGAAACCUUCCAAAGGAAUUGACGGGGACCCGCACAAGCGGUGGAUGAUGUGGUUUAAUUUCGAUGCAACGCGAAAAACCUUUACCUACCCUUGACAUGUCUGAAAUCCUGAAGAGAUUUGGGAGNGCUC
rnacentral:rRNA from 1 species